UACGUAGGGGGCAAGCGUUGUCCGGAAUCAUUGGGCGUAAAGAGCGUGUAGGCGGUCCGGUAAGUCGGCUGUCAAAGUCCAGGGCUCAACCCUGGGAUGCCGGUCGAUACUGCCGGACUAGAGUUCGGAAGAGGCGAGUGGAAUUCCCGGUGUAGCGGUGAAAUGCGCAGAUAUCGGGAGGAACACCUAUGGCGAAGGCAGCUCGCUGGGACGUUACUGACGCUGAGACGCGAAAGCGUGGGGAGCAAACAGG
rnacentral:rRNA from 1 species